UACAGCGGUCUCAAGCGUUGUUCGGAUUCAUUGGGCGUAAAGGGUGCGUAGGCGGCGCGGUAAGUCGGGUGUGAAAUCUCGGAGCUUAACUCCGAAACUGCAUUCGAUACUGCCGUGCUUGAGGACUGGAGAGGAGACUGGAAUUUACGGUGUAGCGGUGAAAUGCGUAGAUAUCGUAAGGAAGACCAGUGGCGAAGGCGGCUCACUGGUCCGGUACUGACGCUGAGACGCGAAAGCGUGGGGAGCAAACAGG
rnacentral:rRNA from 1 species